GUUGGAUGGGUACGAGGGAACAACCUGGGCGUCAGGUAGGAAGGGUACAGGGGAACAAAUGGGGGUCAGGUAGGAAGGGUACUGGGGAACAAAUGGGGGUCAGGUAGGAAGGGUACGGGGGAACAAAUGGGGGUCAGGUAGGAAGGGUACGAGGGAACAAAUGGGGGUCAGGUAGGAAGGGUACGGGGGAACAAAUGGGGGUCAGGUAGGAAGGGUACAGGGGAACAAAUGGGGGUCAGGUAGGAAGGGCACUAUGGAACAAAUGGGGGUCAGGUAGGAAGGGCACUAUGGAACAAAUGGGGGUCAGGUAGGAAGGGUACAGGGGAACAAAUG
rnacentral:lncRNA from 1 species